GGUGUUUUUGUUUUUGCGUCCCGUCUUGCUUACUGUCGAGAGUGACUAUGCAAUGCAUAUAGACUGCAAGGAGACAGGACUAAAAAAGGUUCGUUUGCUACUGCAGCCAUGUUGCAGCAAUGCCCUUCAGGGUGGAGGCGGACAUCAAAUAUGGCCUGAAUGACCCCGCUCCUACGGACAUGCCAUGCAUAUGGAAAAAAGUCUCAGCUAAGCUUCUGGCAGCGCGUAUUGCUGAUGUUGACUUCAUAAAACCAGAAGUAGGAA